UACACCGGUUCUCGUACAAUCACCAAAGUUAAGCAAUGUUGAGUUCUGUCAGUACCUAGAUGGGUGACUGCUUGGGAAUACCAGGUGCUGUAAG